UUUUAAGCCUUUUCACCUCUUAUCAGCACAAUUCUCAGCAGCUUCUGCUCAUUUCAGCAGAAUUGUCAGUCUGUCCACCUCUUCUCUGUGAGAAUGUGUUUGGGUCAGUGAGAUGAGUAGCUGCUUUGAGUCUGGUAGGGCCAGGUUCGAAUCCUGCUCAGGGCAACAUUUUUUUUUCACCACCAUACAACUUUUUGCAACUUUUCAUCUUUUUCAGCUUUUCAGCAGACAGCUUCAGCGUUAAGGCAUCCACACAGCAUUUUCGCAGGAAAUGCAAAUUUUUCUAGUUCUUUAUUGUGUGGAUGCUUUAAGGCAAAAUUUUCAGCCUUUUCACCUCUUAUCAGCACAAUUGUCAGCAGCUUCUGCUCAUUUCAGCAGAAUUGUCCGUCUCUCCACCUCUUCUUUGUAAGAAUGACUUUGGCUCAGGGAAAUGAAUAGCCGCCUUUGAGCAGAAAUUCUGCUGAUUCAUCUCUUUUCAGCGCAACUUAUUGCUUCUUUACCUCUUUUCUGCAGAAAUUCUGCUGAUUCACCUCUUUUCUGCAAAAUUUUCAGCCUUUUCACGUCUUCUCAGCACAAUUCUCAGCAGCUUCUGCUCUAUUUAGCAAAAUUGUCAGUUUCUCCAUCUCUUGUUUUUGAGAG
rnacentral:lncRNA from 1 species